GAGGUUGUGGCUCAGUGGUAGAGCUCUCCACUGGCAUGUGUGAGACACUGAGUUUGAUUCUCAACACCACA
rnacentral:tRNA from 1 species